UCUUUGACACUCCGGUAAGCGGAAACUGACGUAGCUUUACGGAAAAUACCGAAUAUUUUACGUCAAUAUUGGGACGCUGAAUUUUGUUUACAAAUUUGGGAAAUAAUUAUAAGGCCUGAAAGCAAAGUUUAAGAAUGUCUGGUGCAACUUUAGAGCACAGAGAAAUAUCGGCUCCUAGAGUCAGCAAAUACAACGUUUAUAUUCAGGGUGACCUCAAGCAUAGCCAUUUUACAAUUCUGACAGUACAUGACCUAGGAUGCAAUC